rnacentral:rRNA from 1 species
ACGCUCGACACCUACGGGAGGCUGCGGUGGGGAAUAUUGCACAAUGGGGGAAACCCUGAUGCAGCGACGCCGCGUGGAGGAAGAAGGUCUUCGGAUUGUAAACUCCUGUUGUUGGGGAAAAAGAGGAUGGUACCCAACAAGGAAGUGACGGCUAACUACGUGCAAGCAGCCGCGGUAAUCUGAGCGGGCUGGCAAGGC